rnacentral:rRNA from 1 species
UAUGUGAUCGUCUCUCGCAUAUCAAUAAGCGGAGGAAAAGAAACUAACAAGGAUUCCCCUAGUAACGGCGAGUGAAGCGGGAAGAGCUCAAACUUUGAAAUCUUAAAGGGUUUCCCUUUACGAAUUGUAGUUUAAAGAAGUGUUUUCUGUUGAGGUUUUGGUAAAAGUUCUUUGGAAUAGGACAUCAUAGAGGGUGAGAAUCCCGUAUUUGACCUUUACUUUCAACUUUGUGAUACACUUUCAAAGAGUCGGAUUGUUUGGGAAUGCAGUCCAAAAUGGGUGGUAAAUUUCAUCUAGAGCUAAAUAUUGGCGAGAGACCGAUAGCGAACAAGUACCGUGAGGGAAAGAUGAAAAGAACUUUGAAAAGAGAGUUAAACAGUACGUGAAAUUGUCAAAAGGGAAGCGCUUUGACACCAGUGUUGUUUUUCUGAAAAUCAAUUAAAGAACUGUUUAUGCUAAGUUGUUUAGACUUUAUCAGCUAUCUGUUUAGUUUUGAGCUUUUCUUUAAUGCACUUUUCAGUUAACAAGUCAACAUCAAUUUCUUUUGCUGUAAAAAAGCUUGAGGAAGGUGGCUUGAGAUUCGUCUUAAGUGUUUAUAGCCUCUUGCCUAUGCAGUCGGAGAGAUUGAGGUCUGCAGCGUAGAUCCUUCGGGGCUAAAUGCAUUUGUGCUAAGUUAUAGCAUUUUAUAGACAACUUGUUGACUAUGAUUUGUCUUGUAGCUUACUCGCUUAUGUUAUUUUACCUACGCUUAGGAUGUUGAUCUACAGAGCGAGAGU